GACGAACGCUGGCGGCGCGCUUAAAACAUGCAAGUCGAACGUGAAGCCGGGGCUUGCCCCGGUGGAAAGUGGCGAACGGGUGAGUAACACGUGAGAAACGUGCCCCGGACGACCGGGAUAACCCAGGGAAACUUGGGCUAAUACCGGAUGCCUUCACCGGAUCGCAUGGUCUGGUGAAGAAAUGGAUUCCGCUCCGGGAUCGUCUCGCGGCCUAUCAGCUAGUUGGUGAGGUAACGGCUCACCAAGGCGACGACGCGUAGCCGGACUGAGAGGUUGGCCGGCCACAUUGGGGACUGAGACACUGCCCAGACUCCCGUACGGGGGGCUNCAGUAACGAAUCUUCCGCAAUGCACGAAAGUGUGACGGAGCGACGCCGCGUGUGGGACGAA
rnacentral:rRNA from 1 species